GACGAACGCUGGCGGCGUGCCUAAUACAUGCAAGUCGACCUUAGUGGCGAACGGGUGAGUAACACGUGGGUAACCUGCCCAUCAGACGGGGAUAACACUUGGAAACAGGUGCUAAUACCGUAUACUGAUGGAUGGACCCGCGGUGCAUUAGCUAGUUGGUGGGGUAACGGCUCACCUAGGCGACGAUCCAUAGCUGUGCUGAGAGGAGGACCAGCCAAACUGGAACUGAGAAACGGUCCAGACUCCUACGGGAGGCAGCAGUGGGGAAUAUUGCACAAUGGGCGAAAGCCUGAUGCAGCAAUGCCGCGUGUAUGAAGAAGGCCUUCGGGUUGUAAAGUACUUUCAGCGGGGAGGCGUUACCCGAAGAAGAAGCACCGGCUAACUCCGUGCCAGCAGCCGCGGUAAUAC
rnacentral:rRNA from 1 species